GUCCACGCCGUAAACGAUGGAUACUAGCUGUUUGCUCGUAAGACUGAGUGGCUAAGCGAAAGUGAUAAGUAUCCCACCUGGGAGUACGAACGCAAGUUUGAAACUCAAAGGAAUUGACGGGGCCCGCACAAGCGGUGGAGCAUGUGGUUUAAUUCGAUGAUACGCGAGGAACCUUACCAGGGCUUAAAUGUGUUUUGACGGAUUUUGGAAAACAGAUCUUUCGCAAGACAAAAUACAAGGUGCUGCAUGGUUGUCGU
rnacentral:rRNA from 1 species